rnacentral:rRNA from 1 species
GGUUGCGAUCAUACCAGCACUAAUGCACCGGAUCCCAUUAGAACUCCGCAGUUAAGCGUGCUUGGGCGAGAGUAGUACUAGGAUAGGUGACUGUGACAACUCAUGUUCCAGACC